rnacentral:rRNA from 1 species
CAUCCGAUAUGGGCGAGCUAGAGUAUCGUNGGGGAGACUGGAAUCCUGGAGUAGCGGUCGAAUGCGCAGAUAUCAGGAGGAACACCAAUGGCGAAGGCAGGUCUGUGGGCCAAUACUGACACUGAGGAGCGAAAGCGUGCGGAGCGAACAGGAUUAGAUACCUAGGUAGACCACGCCUGAACGGUGGGCUCUAGUAGUGGGAACCUAUCACGGUUUCUGCGACGCAGCUAACGCAUUAAGCGCCCCGCCUGGGGAGUACGAUCGCAAGAUUAAAACUCAAAGGGAUUGACGGGGCCCCGCACAAGCAGCGGAGCAUGCGGCUUAAUUNGACGCAACGCGAAGAACCUUACCAAGGCUUGACAUAUACAGGAAUACGGCAGAGAUGUCGUAGCGGUAAAACGUCUGUAUACAGGUGGUGCAUGGUNGUCGUCAGCUCGUGUCGUGAGAUGUUGGGUUAAGUCCCGCAACGAGCGCAACCCUCGUUCUCUGUUGCCAGCAUUUAGUUGGGGAUUCACAGGUGGCUGCCGGUGUUUACUC